GACAGAGGUGCCGAGCGUUAGGCGGAAUCACUGGGCUUAAAGCGUGUGUAGGCGGGUCGUUAAGUGCCUUGUGAAAUCCCACAGCUCACCUGUGGAACUGCUUGGCAUACUGGCGAUCUUGAGCCACUUAGGGGCAACCGGAACAAACGGUGGAGCGGUGAAAUGCGUAGAUAUCGGAAGGAACACCAAUGGCGAAGGCAGCCGCCUGGGCCUGAUCUGACACUGAGACACGAAAGCGUGGGGAUCAAACAGG
rnacentral:rRNA from 1 species